rnacentral:misc_RNA from 1 species
GAUGAAGAACGUAGCGAACUGCGAUAAGUAAUGUGAAUUGCAGAAUUCAGUGAAUCAUCGAGUCUUUGAACGCACAUUGCGCCCCCUGGCAUUCUGGGGGGCAUGCCUGUCCGAGCGUCAUUGCUGCCCUUCAAGCCCGGCUUGUGUGUUGGGUCGUCGUCCCCCCCGGGGGACGGGCCCGAAAGGCAGCGGCGGCACCGCGUCCGGUCCUCGAGCGUAUGGGGCUUUGUCACCCGCUCGAUUAGGGCCGGCCGGGCGCCAGCCGGCGUCUCCAACCUUCUAUUUUACCAGGUUGACCUCGGAUCAGGUAGGGAUACCCGCUGAACUUAAGCAUAUCAAUAAGCGGAGGA